AACUUUCAACAACGGAUCUCUUGGUUCUCGCAUCGAUGAAGAACGCAGCAAAAUGCGAUAAGUAUUGUGAAUUGCAGAAUUUUGUGAAUCAUCGAAUUUUUGAACGCACAUUGCACCUUCUGGUAUUCCGGAGGGUAUACCUGUUUGAGCGUCAU
rnacentral:rRNA from 1 species